rfam:Bacillus vireti LMG 21834 contig58, whole genome shotgun sequence.
CGGCGAGGCUUCCCUGUCCGUUAUACAUGGGGGCACUCGAUCAUGCUGUGGGGCCAUUUCGGUCCUUAGGCGCAGGUCGUCAAAUGGAUGAUGUGAGGCUGGGUUAGAUGCCCA